rnacentral:lncRNA from 1 species
UUUACAUGAACGCCCUUCCAGGACUCUGUCUGCUUUUGGGGUGGAAGUGCCCUGCCAAAAACUCCAGCUCUCCAUGCUGGCUGUGUGGCCAGCAUACCUCCUGCCUUUUCAACGAUUCCUCUGCCCUGGAUAGAGAGUGGUGUCUCAUAACAGUUUGGAAACUACAAAAGUUUCCCUGGCAGGAUGAAUGAUUGACUCGGCAACAUGUUCUUGCCUUUUGGAGUUGCCCUCCAAUUUUUCCAGGCUUGAUUCUGUAAAUCAUUUCGUCUUGUGAAAAUACUGGGCCGUGAGCACAGAUGAUCUCAAAGAUGAGGAAACAGAAGCUGGGAUAUGUGAGUAAACAUUUCCAAGGUCCUGCAGCUAAUCAGUGGUUGACAACUUCUUUCCUCUGCCUAUGUUGCCAUCCAUGUCAUGGUUUGUGUCAAGACUCUAGGAGAAGUCUACCAUCAGCACCACAGCUACUGUGCACAAAUCCAGAAUGCCAGACUGAAAGCAGAAGGAAGGACCCUUUAUGCAUUGAAAGAAGAAAGUAGAACCAUUUCUGGGUCCCAGCUGUGGGAAGAGCUCCUGUUGCUGUGGAUUCUGACUUCUGGGUCUUGGCGCAGGGUGUGGCCAGCAAGCUAAGCUGUCCUGAGGGUGUGCUGGGCCAGGGGCUGAAGACAGUGUUGGAGCAUCCACAGACUGGUUUGUCUCAAGAAGCAUGUUACUAAAUAUGAAAUAGCAAAAUCUGCAAGUGGGUUUACUUUUCCCCAAUAGAUUAGAAUGGAUUCAAUAUUAUCUCUUUAUUAACUUCACUUUUAAUCACUUGCAUAGCAAGUAGGACAGAAAGGUGGCUUGAAAGUCAAUCGUGAGAAUUCCAGAUAAAUUGACUUUGCUCACAACAAUCUGGUAUUCAUGUGACUAUCAACUGUCAUGUGUGCUGGGGCAAAAAAAGAUUAAGAUUCACUGGUCUCAGUUCCAGGAGGGGAAACUCAGGAUUGAAUUUUUUCAGCCUUCUAUGAUAAAAUUUCCUGCUCUGUGGGUGCGCCAAAGCUUUUUUCAGUUUCCUAAACUCCCAUAUUCAAGAAGAGAAGCUAUUUUCUUUCUCAUCCUUCCUUGACAAAGCAAAACAUAUUUUCAUUGUCUACUCUGUGUCAUCCAUGCUUGGUUCCUGUCCUCAAACAGCUUAUAGUUCAAAUAAAGGAGAGGGAGAAUUUUACAAGGGAAUUAAAGGUAAAAGUUUCUGAAAGCCAGUUAAAAAAGUCGUGAGGGAGGGGUCUGGGAGAAGCUGAGCAGGGGUGAAAGGGUACGAAACAUUAUGGAAGGAGAACGGGGAGCACCCUGACUACUGGGUGGAAACACCAAUCAGUGGGUAGAAACCACACAGUGGUAACACUGAUUAGUGGGUAGAAACCAAUGACAGCAGGUAUAUGAGGCAUGGAACACUUGGCUUAUUGUAAAGUUUUCAAGAUAUGUGGUCCUUUCUAUCCACCAGGGGAUGGGAGUUGUCUUUGUAUAUCAGCCAUGGAAGGGCUGUUUUGGUUCAUCGUUCUGUGGUCUACCUGGGUAGACCUGAAGCAGCCGUGUUUCUGAGGAAAGGAAGAACAGCUUUUGUUUUGUGAUAUUUAAUGGUAGAUGUAGUGCCAUGGAAUGAUGCAGAUUUCAUUCAGAUAUUCUUGGAUCUUGGCCCUAGGACUCACUCAUUCUUCCCUAUAUGAGCAUUGGUAGUUACAGGUUUUAGCCUUCCUUUAACUGUCUUUUGAAGGCAAAAACUAUAUCCAAUUUGUCACUGUCUCCUAACAGUACUUAGUAGUGUCUGAUGCAUCUUAGGGAGUUUGUAAAUGUUUGGCUGAAUAAAGGGAAAACAAAAAC